rnacentral:rRNA from 1 species
GGAAUUUUGGACAAUGGGCGCAAGCCUGAUCCAGCCAUGCCGCGUGCGGGAAGAAGGCCUUCGGGUUGUAAACCGCUUUUGGCAGGAACGAAACGGCGCGAGCGAAUACCUCGCGCUAAUGACGGUACCUGCAGAAUAAGCACCGGCUAACUACGUGCCAGCAGCCGCGGUAAUACGUAGGGUGCAAGCGUUAAUCGGAAUUACUGGGCGUAAAGCGUACGCAGGCGGCUUUGCAAGACAGGUGUGAAAUCCCCGGGCCUAACCUGGGAACUGCAUUUGUGACUGCAUGGCUAGAGUCUGUCAGAGGGGGGUGGAAUUCCACGUGUAGCAGUGAAAUGCGUAGAGAUGUGGAAGAACACCGAUGGCGAAGGCAGCCCCCUGGGAUGAGACUGACGCUCAUGUACGAAAGCGUGGGGAGCAAACAGGAUUAGA